GCCGGGGCAGGGCAGUAAUGUGUGUCUGGGUCAUUUGUAAGUUGAGUGUUUCUAAGGUGGAAGCUCUCUGUCCUGCGUUAGUCAUUCAAAUCUCCACUUUUAAGCAGGUGCUGUAUGCAGCAGAAGGAAACAUUGCGCAUGGAAAGGGGGAAUGAACAGGUGGGAGUGAGAAGAGCAAGAAGGAACCAGACGAAAGCAGCCAAGGUCUGUUAAGAACGUGAGUGGUUCUGAAGUGUUUCAGUGAUACAGAGUACACGCACGACGAUGGGCAUUA
rnacentral:lncRNA from 1 species